rnacentral:lncRNA from 10 species
AGUGAUACAGAUAGUGAAGUCUAGGCUGAUGAGAUCUCAGAUAGAAAUGAGGAACUUAUUGGGAACUGGAGCAAAAGUCACUUUUGUUAUGCCUUACCAAGUAACUUGGCUGAAUUGUGUCUAUGCCUUAGGGAUCUGUGGAAGUUGGAGAUUGAGAGUGAUAACCUAGGGUAUGUGGCAGAAGAAAUUUCUAAGCAGCAGAUGUGACCUGGCUUCUUCUAACAGCCUAUGUGAAGAUGUGGGAGCAAAGGAAUGGCUUGAAGUUGGAACUUGUAUUUAAAAAGGAAGCAUUUGGAAAAUGCUUGGUAAAAGCUUGGAAAAUUGCAGCCUGGUCAUGUGACAAAGAACGAAAAGAUUUUGCAGAGAGGAAUCAAGCAGGCUGUGGAGCAACCACUUACUAGCAAGAUUUGCAUAACCAUAAAGAAGUCAUAUGCUGAUAGACAAGACACUCAGAGAAAGGUCUCAAAGGCAUUUUACAGACCUUCAUGUCAGCCCCUCCCAUCACAGGCCCAGAAGCCUAGGAGGGAAGAACAGUUUUGUGGGCCAGACCCAGGGCCCUGCUGCCUUGUGCAGCCUCAGGACACUGCUCCCUGCAUCCCAGCCACAGAGUCUCUGCCUAGAUUUCAGAGGAUAUAUGGAAAAGCCUUGGUGUCCAGGCAGAAGCCUGUUAUGGGGGAAGAGCCCUCACAGAGAAACUCUAUAAGGGCAGUGUGGUAUGGAAAUGUGAGGUUGGAACUCCCACACAGAGUCCCCACUUGGGCACUGCCUAGUAGAGCGUGAGAAGGCCACCAUCCUUCAGACCCCAGAAUGGUAGAUCCACCAACAGCUUGCAUCCUGCACCUAGAAAAGCUGCAUACACUCGACAACAUGAGAGCAGCUGGCAGGGGCUGAACCCUGCAAAGCCACAGGAGAAGAGCUGCCUAAGGCCUUGGGAGCCCAAUCUUCACACCAGUGUGCCCUGGAUGUAGGACAUGGAGUCAAAGGAGAUUAUUUUGGAGCUUUAAGACUUAAUGAUUGCCCUGCUGGGUUUUAAACUUGAGUGGGGCCUAUAGCCCCUUUCUUUUGGCUGAUUUUUCCCUUUUGAAAAGGGAAUGUUUAUCCAGUGCCUAGACCCUCAUUGUACCUUGGAGGUAAAUAACUUGUUUUUUUAUUUUACAGGCUCAUAGGUGGAAGGGACUUGCCUUGUCUCAGAUGAGACACUGGACUUUGGACUUCUGAGAUAAUGCUGUAAUGAGUUAAGACUUGGAGGGACUGUUGGGAAGAGAUGACUGUACUUUAAAAUGGGAGAAACAUGAGAUUUCAGAGGAUCAGGGCAGAAUUAUGAUUUGGAUAUUUAUCCCUACCCAAAUAUCAUGUUGAAUUGUAAUCCCCAAGAUUGGUGGUGGGGUCUGGUGGGAGGUGAUUGAUAAUGGGGGUGGAUUUCUAUGAAUGGUUUAGCAACAUCUCCUUGAUACUAUCCUUGAAAAAGUCAGUGACUUCAUGCAAGAUCUGGUUGUUUAAGUGUGUGACACCUCUAUCUCUCUCUUGUGCCUUCCUGUUCCCACCAUGUGAGACACUUGCUCUCCCUUCACCUUCCACCAUGAUUGGAAACAUCCUGAGGCCUCCCCAGAAGCAGAUACCAGCAUUGUGCUUCCUGUGUGGCCUGCAGAACUAUGAGGAAACUAAAACAUGGGUCUUACCAACAUUUACCACAAGCAGAGCCAGCUUGUAGGUGGAAGGGGACUUGCCUUGUCUCAGAUGAGACUUUGGACUUUGGACUUUUGAGUGAUGCUGAAAUGAGUUGAGACCUUUGGGGAACUAUUGGAAAAGGAUGAUGGUAUUUUGGAAUGUGAGAAGGAAGUGAGAUUUGUGGGACCCGGGACAGAAUGAUAUCAACUGGAUGUUGUCUCCACCAAUCUCACAUUGAAUUGUAAUCCCAGGUAUUGGAGGUAGGGCCAGGUGGGAGGUGAGUGGAUCAUGGGAGCAUAUCCUUCAUGAAUGGCUUAGCCCAUCUCCUUGGUGGUGAGUUAUUGCAAGAUCUGGUUGUUUAUAAGUAUGUGGUACCUCCCCUUCUCCCUUCUUCCUCUCUUGCUCCUUCUCUUGCCAUGUGAGAUGCCUGCUCCCCCUUCACUUUCUUCCAUGAUUGUAAGCUUCCUGAUGCCUCUCCAGAAGCAGAUGCCAGCACUAUGCUUCCUGUAGAGCCUGCAGAAUCAUGAGCCAAGUAAACCUAUUUUCUUUAUAAAUUACCCAGUCUCAGGUAUUUUUUAUAGCAACGCAAGAACAGCCAACAGGCCUCAAAAUAAUUCAUAACCUACUUCAACUUGGCCUGUCCCCAUCCUGAUUGUCACUUUAACCAUGCAGUAAGACCAUAAGAUAGUGACAGGAGGUCAUCCGGUAAAAGAACUUUCAGUCUGUUCUCCCACCUCAAAAAUGCAAACAUAACUACAUCUUAAAAAUUGGAUUACUAGGAGAUGGUAUCAUUAUAAAACAACAACAAACAUUUGUCAUUGUAAGUCUUCUCUGGGAUACCACUGAAUUUUUUCAUCCUAGCUUGGAAAAGGUGAGUCGAUGCUUUGUGAACCCAGACACGCAUAGCAACAAGUGACCUAAACUCAGAUCCUGUGCUGAUUACUUUACAUGAAUUAUUGUAUUUAUUUAACAACUUUGAGUUAUGAGGCAUAUUAUUAGGUCCAUAUUACCUGUGACAAAAGCUAAAAUUGAAGCCCUAAAGAGCUAAGUAACUUACCCAAGGUCACACAACCAGAAAUGAUGGAGCUGAGAUUUGAACUAUGGCAUCUUGACAACUGAGCUUAACCACCAGACUAUACCGGAUUCUGUUUUCUGUUUUAUAAUCCUAGGUCUUAGAGCUAGAAUUUGUCUUUCCAGCAAAUAUUUAUUGAUCAUACACUAUAUGUGAGUCACUGCGCUAGUACUGGCAAUAACACAGAGAGAGCUCUGUUUUCAUGGAGCUGACUUUCUAUUUGGAUCAACAGAUAAUAAAAAAAUCAAGCAUAUACAUAGUAAAAGGUCAGGUAGUGAUAAAUGCUAUGAAUAAAAAUAAAGUGGGGUAAGGAGCUCUGGAGGGAAAGUGCUGUAUAGAUAGGGCAGGGAGGUUGUCAUUUAGUUCAAUCCUGUGUCUGCAGGUAGGACAUAUAUCAUUAUCCCCAUCCAGUAGAUUAGAUAAGUGAGGGACUGAAAAGCUAAGUGACUUGCCCAACAUCCCAGAGCUGGCAAGAAAUAAAGUAUAAACUAAAGCCAAACCUCCUACUCUCUACUCCUUUUUUAGUAUGCCAUAUUUAGUUUGUCUAAUAAUACUUCAACCUGAAAUUACACUUCCAUAAAUGUGCAUUUUUAAGCACAGAUAAUCCCUAUGUACUCAUUUUUCCUAGUUGGUCCCAAUAAAAUGAGAUCAUCUAAUAAAAAACAGAGGACAGAGGGGGGAAAAAGACAUUUAAAAAAAGAAAAUCCUCUGAAUUCAUGAAUAAGAAACUGAAGUGUCCAAAAUGAGGUCUCUUGCCAUCACUUUUCAGUACCUUGAUUAAUAGCUGAUACCAGGAUGUGUUCCAUUGCCAUACUCAUGGAUUUGGCUUUUACACUUGGAAAUAUCCCGGAUCUAACACUUCAAUUACUAAGGGAAAAAUAAAAGCCCCAAAAAUCACUACCAGCAUGCAUAAUAUCCAAUUCUGCUCUCUUAUUUGUUUGAGUAAUAAACGAAUGGAAUUUUGGUGACAAGUUGAUUGCUGUGCCCUGUGCCAUAAGAUAUGGGCAUUCUAAUAGGCUGAAUUGCAAUUAUGCGGUUUUGAUGUGACAGAUAUUAAUCAGCUUAAACUCUCUGAAGACUUUUUGGAAAACAUCACCCAGUAGGGAGAAAUAAUCCCCAUUCUUCUAACUGAUUAAAUGUCUUUAUGGUUAUUUUCUUCCCAUGCCUGCUUUUUAAAAUAUUGCCAGGAGAACAGAUAAUUGACAAUUGCAAGUCUCAACUACAAAUUGUAUCACUUAAACCAAGCAGUGAAAGACUAAACCUACUUGGACCUGAUAAAUGUCCAAACUUUGGACUGAGCUAUUCCUGAACUAGGCAUUUGGUUAGCCAAAAUCAAUUAGUCAAUUAACCUGAAAGUAUUCCCUAUUAAAUAUCUGCUUUUGCAAAAGUACAAAUGUAACACAGAUGUCAACUGGGGUGAUUCUGCCUUUGAGAUUCUGAUCAAAUUGUUUCAAACCUUAUUCUAAAUGCAGCAGGGAGCCCAGCAAGCCUCUCAGUAUUUCUGGGGACCCUCGGGAGGCUUAUGUUUUAUAUUGACGUCUUUGGCUCCAAUUCUAUACCAAAAUCCUAAUGUCUCUCUUCUUGUGGUCAUCCCCCUCUCUCUUUUUUAUGUCAACUCAUUCAUGGGAUGCAACCCCUUCUUUUUUAUUUUGCAAAACGACUACUGACACAUGGCCAUGGCACAUAGCAGACUCUUUACUGAAAAUUCUAGGUCACAUUGGCUGAGGAGGUGGGAUGGUUCUGUAUAAUGUAGCACACACUAGCAGAAGAGAAAUUCCUGCUCCUCUUCUUAAAAGUCCUGCAGCUGUCAAAUAUCACCAUCACUCUAUCAUGACUACAGAAUUUUUUGUCUUCUAUUAAGACUCUACAUUGUUAACCAUACCCACACCCCUAAUCUCCUCCUCCUUCUCUCUCCUCCCUACUACACUUGCUCCUAUACUCCAAAUGUCCCAUCUGAUUCUCACUGAGAGUCAUUCAAGUAAGACUUCUCUUGCUCAGAUCAUCCUGGCCAUAACAGCUUUCUUUACCCAAGCAAAAUGGUCAAGCCAAACAAUAGCACUUUCCUACAAAAGACAUUGUGUGGUCAGCUCUUAAAGCAAGAGGAUUUUCUCUUCUCCACCUAUGAACAGCUAAUAUUUCCUAUCUUUUCAGAGGAUGGAGAAAAGAGCAUCUCCUGCCUUUGAUCUGCAAUCAUAGCCCAUGAUGGUUCUCCUGACCCUUUCUUCAAAUCCCCCAAUAUACUUCGCAAUGCUAACGGCUCCACUUCACCAGCCAUGGUAUUUACAUCUUAGUAAGGAAGUGCUACCAAUAUGAACUGAAGAAAGGCUUAUAAACCUCAUUUGUUAAGCCCCCUGGCAGGCCCCCAAUUCCUGGCAGAUUAUGUGCCUACAGAAGGCAAUGAGAGUAAAAAUAUCCUCAGACCAUAUUUUUUUUAGAAACUAUUUUCUAAUAGUGGUAUGUUCCUGAUCAGAGCCUGGUUCCCCAAUUUUAUUUAGAUAUAUUCAGUCAACUCUUUGAGCAGGUGUAAAGGAAAUACUUAUAUUCAAUGCUACAUAAAUUUUUAAAAAUCCAUGUUAUAACUAUUUUUAUUAUAAAAAAUAUUUUUAUUAAAAAUUGUCCAAGAGAAAGUUCUAGAAUAAAAAUACCUUUCUGAUUUUAAAAAUUGUGUUUAUUGUAGAAAAUGUUUUUCAGAAAAGAAAAAUCAACUGCAAUCUCACUACCAACAGAUAACCACUAUUCAUACUUUGGCAUAUUUUCUAUAUGUUUGUUUCCUCUGCAAUAUUUUGACAGAUAUGAGAUCACUGUAAUAUAUAGUUUUGUAUUCUCAUCUUGGUACUUAAUGUCAUAUAUUGAGCAUUUUUGCAUUCAUAAAUAUUAGUAGUAAUGUCUAUAUAUUAAUCCACAUGUGUAUACACUAGUUUAUAUAACUUCACCUAUUGUUCAACACUUUGAUUAUAUUAAAUAUCAAGUUAACACCAUACUAAAUCAACUGUUUGAUCAGCUAUGAUAAAAAUGUGUAUACACACAUUUAAGAUGUAUGUACAAAGCCAAUUAAAGCACAACAAAACAACACAAUAAGUAAUCACAUAAUUCUUUACGUAAUUUAUUUAGCCUAGAUGUAAAACAAAGUUUUGAAGUUAUAGGAAACUAAAUUAGUCUGAGUGGUCUGUAUGUGAAUCUGGGGAACAGGGAGACAUCCACCUCUAUCCUCAACCCCAUCCUUAGUAGUCAAUGCCAAAACCAUACUGGGCAAGUGUGGGGGUGGGGAGAUUCUAAUACCCAGAGGAAGAAAAUAACACUUUCCAAUGGUUCAUGUCAACAGCACACCAUCCAGGCUGCAUGGUUUCCAUUCCCCCUACUCGAAGGGCCAUAAAUGAUUCCAUGUGUGAACACAUAGUAGCUGAUUCAUGGUGCACUGGGGCCAGCCAUAAGCUAUAUAUAUGUAUAUGGUGUUAUUUACUCAAUUAAUCUUUGCCCCCUGAAUACAGCGGCAAAGAUUCUAAUUAUUGUUUCCAAAACGACACUCAUUAAAAUGCCAACAGCCAUUCUAUUCUUGUCUUCUUUGAGAUUCUUUGUUUCGAUUAUCAUUUAAGAGAAAAACCAGCUGCCAUGCAGCCUAACAUAUUGCAGUCAAACCAUGCCCAAUUCGCCUAAUAUAUCAUCAUUCUAAUGAUUCUGUAAUUUUUAAAGCUGGAAGAUAUAUGAAAUGUUAUAGCAGUGACAGCACAUUAAAAUGGUUCUUCUACCCCUUUCCAAAUUCCAGUUCCACCUCCCUAUCCAAAGCCCAAAUCUCUCUGAUGGCUACCGCGAAUGUCAAAAAUCAGGGUCUACAAUACUACCAGAAGUGUGGAAAAGAAACUUGAGUCCCCUUUUCUUCCAAAUGCUCUCCAAAGGCUCAACUAGAAGUUCAUGGUGAAAUUGCAGUCUCUGAUAACAACAUGUGAGAGAUGCUGUCACUGGCUGCUUUUCAAGGGGAAUGGUUAUUAGAGUCACAUUUGGUCUUAUAAACUAAGUGAAAAGGAUUUGUAAGGAAUAAACAGAAAAGCCUGGGAAACAAAAGUUUCCUCCCUCAAAAUAUAAAGUAGCUUUUUAUACAAAGAAUUAGGAUGUGGACAUCUCAGCCUCCCAGCUUUGCCACUUUUGUUCUAUUAUCUAGUGAAGCAACUGAAAAGGAGCCAUAAUCUAGAGCUAAAUCCCAGAUCCCGAAAAGACUACAUGAGAAUGACUGGCUUGACACACAGGAGCCUGAAGGCCCAACAUACUGCAAUAGGAAAUAGUAUGAUGAUGUAAUGCAUUGGAACCAGAGGCUCAAUAAAAUGGGUGCUGUGCUGAAUCAAGUGGAGGAAGAAGCUAUUAAAUUCUAGGACUGUGCAAGGAUUCUCCCUUAGCGAGCCCAUUCUGAGCAUCAGCAGCUCACUCUUCCACAUGUCAGCGCCAUUGUAACCAGUUGCCUGUCUCCCAAGGGGAACAUGACUGGCCAACAAAUGCAUUAUGCCUUUUCUUCUUCCAGAAGUUUCCUUAGUAUCAAAAGUCAAAAAACCUGGUAAAAGCUUGCAGAGAACACCACUGCCUUAUUGGAAUUCCCUGAAAGGGGCCAGUCUUGGUAUUUUUCUGAAAGCCAAGCAAAACAGGCAAAUCAAAGCAGGGCAUACAUCCGUCUCCACAAUUGCCUCCCUUCCCACUGGCAUGCAUUUCACCCCAGUUCUGACACCCCUGGUUUAUCUCUGAUGCCCCCAGCUAAUUCUCACACUCCAUUGGAAAGGUGGCCUCAAGGGUACUGUUCGUGUCACCAUUCAGGAGACUUUUCACCCUUAAACCUGGGACUUUGCCAGACAGACAAACAAAAAAAUCUCAGAUGAAGCAUGAGGGCUGAGGAAGGGAUUUGUUUUUCCUUGAUGACACGACUCCAGAAGAUCACCUAAACAGUAUCCUCAAAUGAUUAAUUUCACAGUUCUUUUCUCUGAUUUGAGGAUAAUUCCAUAGAAGUGUAUUAUUUUGUUGUUUUUUAACCUGGGUUCAUUUCCCAGCCAGCUCUUCGGAACCCCCUCACCAUACUGUUGAAUUCUCCCUCUAGCCUCCCAUAAACAGAACUACUCAAAGGCCUAUCUGGAAGCCUGCCAUCCCCCUCUAGCCAGAGGGCCCGGAGGCAGACCUGCAGGCUGGAGCUGGUGCAUCCUCUGGAGAUGAGGCAGGAAGGGCUGGCCCCUUUUUUGGUGGCAGCUGUUUCAACCUUAGCAGGCAGCUGGCAGCAGCCCCCUUUGAAGCCCCAGCAAAGAACAAUGAUUCCAACAUCCUCUUCAGCAGCCACCAGCUCCAUCUCACAUCUCCUUCCGGCCCACACUGCUCCUGUCACAGUGAUUAUGGAGGCAGCAGUUGUGCUGUAAUUAGGAUCCUCCUGGGCCAGACAAUCUCAGUGAGAGCAAGAUGCCAGCUGCUCCAUCGCCAGCAGCAUCUCCUUGGCACCCCGUCCUACUCGGCACUCUUCCUCUCUUCCAAACUCUGUCCUGUCCUCUUGGCCACUGGAAUCACCAGCCAGGCUGAGACCAAGCACACAACUUAUGCUCUGCCCCGGAUUUAAGGUUAUUUCUUUUCCUGGCUCACUGAGAGCAACUCCAGCUCAAGACCAGGUAGACAGCAAUGGGUAGUCAAGUCAUUCCAAGUAACGGCUUUUUCGAAGGUGGGCUUCAGGGAUUGCCUAAACAGUUUUUGCUUCAAUUCUCUAUUUCUUGACUUUAUUGUUCACAUAGUUCAUAUAUUCCCCUGGCCUUCUGGACACUUUAAAUGUUCAUGCUUUUCCCAACAAUCAUGAUGCUGGGGUCUUUUCAACUCCAGGAUCUUUCAGUUAAGGGUGCAGAGAAGAUCACUCAUGGAUGGCAUUGCCCAUGGGACAGCCUUCCAUGGGCAGGCAGCCUCUGGGGGUACACAGAGUCUCCCCCUCUGGUUUCAUAUUCCUCCCUCUUCUCUUCCUAGGACUUUGAACGAACAAGAGCCAGGAGAUGCUGAAAUGGCUCCUACAACUGUUUCCAGAUGAAAAUGAGGGAGCCCACGUGGCAUGUGAGCAAUUCUCCUCCUCCAUUCUCUGAUUCCUGGGACCAGAAUAAAAAUGCAGUGACAAAAGCUGACUCUCCUAUGAGAAACCAGAAGGCCCACAGCCUAGCAAAGCAGGCUGAUCUAACUGCGCUGCCCAAGACCCAAGAAAUCUUAGUGCCAAGAAGUCUGUUUUCUUACUAUCCCCACUUUCAUUUUCCCUUCUCAUCAUUUGUCAAACUUGCCCAAAUAUAACAUUUCUACCUUACAAGGGAUAGUGGGUAUUUUUAAUUCCCAUAACCCUCCCUAUGGCUCAAAAUAAAGGCAUUGUAAGAAAGCGGUUCCACAUUCGGGCAAUGCUUUCCUACUCCCUCUGGCCGA